GAAAGAUGCAAACGGACAAGACAGGCCUUAAUGGUGCAGACCCAGCUGAAAACCAAACCCUGUCGUAUUCUGCUGAAGUUGAACUCGAAGGAAAUGAAGUGAACCCCUGGCCAUGUGUAUGCUCUAUUAUGCAGUGUAAGCUGUGUUUGGCUAGGGAGACCAAACUAGCAGUUUAUAAAUCUCGACAUCACCCCUUCGCAAGCAUGUAGAGGUAGCAUAAGGGAGUCCUCACUGACUACAGCAGUACAAUGAGACGCCAGUGUUUCAUUCAGAGCACAUCUGCAUGAGGACACGCGUAAUGCUCCUCUACUCAUCAACAGGCCAUAACAGCACAGUGACGCUCUUGUGUUAUAGAGGAGAGCCAAGUUGUUAUUUUGGGCUCUUACUUGAGGAAGCUCCAGGCCAGGCAGGGAGACAGACAGUGCAGGACGCAGGAGGGCAGCUGGAAGAUGGAGCACAGGCUGGGCUCCAGGGCCGUGGGGCCGCCUCCAU